AGCAGCUCACAGGUCAGUACACAUGGUCUGGUGAUUCCCCGCUUCACGAACGAAGCGUCUGCCCUCUUUACUCUCAUUAUUGAAUUACGUAGACGCCCGCACAUAAUUAUAUAUAGAGAGAGACACGCUAGUAAGCUUAAAUUUACCCUUUUUGAAGUUGGUACAAAAAUAGCAGUGAGAUAAGAAGAAGAUUAAUUUUUGUCUCUUUUUGAUUGUUGCGAAAGCUUGAAGGAAUUGGUAUGUUGGUAAAGUACGCAAACUUAUCGACAGUUGAUAAGUAAUGACGAAAUGGAGGGAAGUCGCAUCAAUCGUGCCGCUAAGAUCAGCCAGAGUGUACAAAUUUAUUACAAAACAGAGAGAGAAGGUGAAUGGUGGCAAAGAGAAGUAAAGAAGGAUCUUUCAAUCAGUUCAAAAAGAGACCGUAACACGUCUUUGAAGAUCAUCAGAGAGGUACUAAAAUGAAUCAUAGAUCGCUAGAUUACAUUAUAAGUUAUUCAACAAAAAAAAAAAAAAGAAAAAAAAAGAAAGAGAAUAUUAAUUGACCCUGACUUGGAGAAUUAUUUAUGAGCUAACAAAAAUUCUAUCUGAUAUUCUACAAAGAAAAAGAGUGUCACUUUUAAGGAUCCUUCACAGGACAGCCAACUUGCAUGAAUAAAGAUAUCCAGUAUUGCAAAGGAGUACAUACAAAUCGCACACCGCUUUGCCAGGGACUGUAAUUUGAAAGUAUUUGUGGAUCUGUGUUCUAUACAUAACGACCGGAAAUACGUUAACUUAGGAAAAAUGUAAUUAUAUUAAAUGUACUAUAAAACACGUGGUAUAGUCGUAAUGCAUGGAACAUUAGUAACGUGCCUGCGAACACGACGUGGAUCGUGUGAAUAAAAGUAUGGAUCGUGAAAAAAUGUGAAUGUGUUAUGUAAUAGUACAUUGACUUUUGUUUGAAAGUUUCUAUUGGCCAAUUUCUGCGGCCAUAUUGUAAGCGAUACUUGAAGUUAAUAUUCGAUGGAAGUACGUUGGUUUAGUCAACUUUAUCAUAGUGAUAAUUUUCCAUAAACAAAAUAGUAGAAUCGACAAAAGAGAUGAUGAAGUUACGCGAACCACGUCGUAUCAUAAAUGCAAUCAAAGGUUUAUUAAAUAUUGUCUUUUAUCGAAACGAGAAAGACCGAUUGAUUUAUCGCAAUUCCUAUAAUUUUCGAAGACAUGGAAAAAAUAGGGUAAAAUCAUGAGAUACGAAGUAACAGAGAGCAAAAAUGCAGCGUGCCACUGAAAAAGUUAAGAGGAAUUCUUUGUUAUCAAUCUAUCGAUAAGCAAUAAUAAGUUCUCGACACCCGUAGUGAUCUCUGAUGGAACUGUUUUCACAAAAUAUAGUGAUAUUUUGUGAAAUCCCCAAAAUUAUAAUAAUAUCUUAGUGAUAAUAGCUUUAGUAACAAUUAUUUUUUCAUGUAAGUAGUACUUAACGUGCGUAGUGAUUAACAAAGUUGUCAUUAGUUAAUUUAAAAUAAAGCUAUUGCUAUAUAUAUUUACUAUAAUGAACAAAUAUAGUACUAAUAACUUUAUAGUUGUUACUAAUGGAAACGAAGUGCUACGUUUUUUGUAAUCCAAGAUAAAGAAACACAGUACUACGUUGGUAAAACGGAUACUGUGCGUCUCUAAUUACAUACAAAUCUAACUGAAGCAGUUCUACAACAUGGUCUAUUAAAACUAAUUUCAAACAUCUAGUAUUUAAAAUAAAAGAAAUUAACUUGUAAUCAAAUGUCACCAGGUGUCGAGACCCACAAAGAAAGAGAAAUAGUUUGAGAAACAGAAGCGGCCAAACAAUAGCUCGUGCGCGCGCGCGCUAUCAUAGAAGUGUUCUAUGGCUGUGUGUGUGCAUUAGGGGAGAUUCAUACGUGACUAGAGGAUGUCGCAGACGCAUAAAUCAGCGAGAAAAAGGGGAAAUCGGGACCUGUCGAUAUGUACCACUAGUAAAAAAAUCCCUAACCUUUCCAUUGCUUAAGAUUUCUGAUUGAGUCAGAAGGAAAAUGAAAAGGCUAGGAAAGAUUAGCACUACCAACUUAUAAAAUAAAAAUAGAAGACAAAAGGGGUAGAGAGAAGGCGUGUAAAACGAAAAGCGUGUGAAAGAAACAGAGAGAAAGAGAUAGUAUUAGACAGAGAUAGAAAUUCUGUAUGUAUGUAUGUCUGUGUAAAAGUAUGCCUGUAUGUGUAUGUUAUAUGUAUAUGUGUGUAAACAUAGAGUAAAAACAGUUACAGUAGACAGUUACAGACAGACAGACAGACAGACAGACAGACAGACAGACAGACAGAUAGAAAUAAGAUAAAGAUCUAGCGAAAGUGUGAAAGAUAGAGCAGAGAGGAGCGCUUACAGCUUGGUCUGUCGAACUCUUGCUGUAGGGUACUGGUAUCAAACGUUCCUGCAACUCGCCACCUAUUACCUUCAAGAGUAAAGGAUAAUAUCAUGGUUAUAACUGGAUACAACGAGCAGUUAAUGCACUUAACAGUACACCAUUUCUCGAAAUAUUGGUGUACUAAAAAAAGUAAUUCUUUUUUAACAUUCCUGAACCUUUGUCCCGGUAUUGAAUAACACCACGCUCUCUGCCUAUAGGCACCUUUUAACUGAUGAAAUUAUCUCUUUGAAAUUUCCCUAGGAAUAAAUCCAAAGCUAUAUUUAUAGUUACCAUCCCUCAUGGAAAUUUUGUUUAGCAGAUUAUACGAGAAACGAUUGAACUGGCCUCCAGGAUACCAAUUUACUAUUUUAGAAACUACUUUGUUUGGUGUUUUGUAAGGAGUAUUUACAACAGAAACAGAUAUUUAGAGAUAGUGAAGCUAAAAAGUGCCUGAUCGUCAAUAACUAUUGAGAAAGAAGUACACUUAAAAGUGGUAACCUGCUGGUUAUGUAUAAUCAUUAUGUAUAUGUUAUUCGCGUGAAUAUCAUUGGAUGUGUAAAACUCGCGGCACUCGAUCGCACGAAGUAUAUGGAAAAAGGAAAUAAAAAAGAUAACAGAGAUUCAUAAGUGGAAACCGAGAAUAGCUCAUACAUGCAACGUAAGAUAUAAUAUCCUUGAAGAUAUACACCCUCGUACGAUAUGUUUUUCAUUUAUCAUUUCUAAACGAAAACUGUUGUAAGAAAUGCCUAGCAAUGUAUGUAUUUCCCUUGUCCCAUUGUUUGUUGAUAUUAACUUAACAGGUGAAAAUCCUACGACAAAUGAAUCCUAUUACAGUGUCAAAUUAAUUAAUUAGCCCAGUGAGAGACGAGUUUCAUAGAUUUCAUUUAUCUCUGCACUUUGAACUUCUCGAGGCCUACCCAGUGAGUUACAAAGACACAUAUAUAACAAUGAUCUUUAUUACAUGAAGUAAUAGUAUCUUCUGAUAGAGUAUCUUCUGAAUAGCAUCACGAAAUGGUAAAAGUCUAGGAUAAUGAGUGAAUAGAAUAAAUCCGAGAUUAGAGUUUAGAAAGUUCCGUAGAGACUCAAUCUCAAACAUAGUAGAGUACUACGCAUCUAGUUGUAUGCAUCCCAGUAGAGUACCGCGUGUUUAGUUGCAUAUAGAACACCGUGACGUUCAGUAACAAAGUAGUCUACAGUAGAAUAAUCAAUGACUGGCACAGUACCAGCUAGUAGUAAGAAGGAGUAGUCAGAUGGACUGCAGUGAAAUAUUAAACUUAACUUCGUUUUGCAAUGCAUCAAAUUUGUCACUUUUUUAAUAAUGUAUGAUACUUUUUGGUGAGUAGAAUUUAAAAAUAUUAGUUACAUUAUUACGAGUUAUUCAUAUAGAGCUCCGUUUUCGAAAAAACUGAGAUUGUAUAUCUGUUACGUUUGCUUGCAUUCCACUAACAGUACUCUAGAAUUACUUUACCCAGUCUAGCUAGCUACUGUUACCUCCACUUGUGUCUACAAACAAUAUCAAUCAGGAUUUUGUUUGUAUAUCUCUCAAAACAAUGAUUUCGCGCCUUAGAACUGAGGUUUUUUAAUUCUACUCGCCAAAAGCUUAUCAUAUGUUGUGAAAAAAGAUCACAAAUUCGAUAUGUCCCAAAACGUUCAACCAAAUAUUCUAUAUUAGAGUUCAUGUACAUUAGUGUCUUAAGGCCAUCGAAGAGUAACCUCAAUUACAGUGCUGUCCAUCAGUAGCAGGACUUCUAAAUAUACCUUCAAAUGAUUUAUAUUUAUAUAACAUCCUUUGUUUGAUUAUAUCCAUAGAGAGUACUGAGAAGGUUUGGCUGUUAAACCUGGGGAUGCCUCAGAUAUGUUUAUGUAUAACAAAUUCCUGUAUCAUUAUAAUAUAUAACUUUUAUAAGAUAUAAUUUUUCAAAAGAACUAUAACAGUCAACUUGCGAAUAAUGUUUUGACACCGUUACUUUAAUUUAGUGCUCACACUCUGAAACAAAGGUAUUUCUCUCCUUCCUGGGGAAUUUUACACCGCAAGUGGCUCAGUUACGUGUUACGCCAUACAGGUGGGGGUGACUACUCGAAAAUGACCUUGAAGAACCAACAUUUGAGAACUCUAGGAUAGAAUUAAUUAGACGUAUCUUGGUGAUACGUUUAAUAAGUGAUCUGCUGUGCAGGAUUCCAUCGACUGAUCUUUUCUUCUUUUUAUUAUAUUACAAUGUGCAAAAGCAUUAGUACGGUCUUUGAAAAUAAAAUCAGGCUCUGGAAUCCCCGUAAAAUAAAUCGAUUUGCGAGCGAGAGUGGUGACUUACGAAACAUACGAACAGAAAUGUUAGGUGAGCGUGAGGAAAAACAGAAUAAAGUGAAAGCUGAUGUGCCUUGGUUCACAGCCGGAAACAGUGCUCUUGAAUACCUUUCCGGAAAUGCAUUUGUUUCGAAGCUUCACAUGGCAUUGGCGAUACAACCAUUAUUUUUUCAAUGCAAAUACAGAGAUUGGGAAAAAAUAUAUGUUCUUAUUAUGUCAGACGGAGAAAGCAGAAAUUUAUUUUCAUUAGAUGAGCCUGCUUUGACAAGCUCGCAACUUAUUUCUUUUUUCUAUCGUUGAGAAAAAUCUUUGAGGAGAAGAUGGACAUUAGAAGCAGCUGAGUACUUUGCACUUUUCAUUUCCUCGACCGUGAAGGAACAUCUUGUGUUCGUGCAGCAGAAUACGGUUUAACGCAAGCAAUGCAUAGAAACCACAGAAAUGCUUUUUUUAGUGUGAGCAUACAGUGGACAAUCUUAAGUAAUUUUCUCAUCUUAUACUUAAUAAAACGCAACCUUUUCAGGCACUCAUCUUCAUUUCAAAUUCUCUUAAUUUCUCUACAUUCAUCCUUGAUCUCUCAUAUAACGAGAUAGUUAAGGAAACGCAGUGCCUAAGAAGUUAAUCAGAAUGCAGACUUUUAUAUUUCUUUGGUCUGAAAGAUUCAGAUCAAAAACAAGGCUCAAUAUAGACAAAGUGGACUCACGUUGAGUUGUAGAGUUUUACAAAGUGCAAGCAGAUACAGUGUAAGUUACAAUAUCAAUAAGAAGUGAACAAAAUUAAAAAAUUUCUCUAUUGCAGUCAACGAUACUUUCAUUGAAGUCUCUUUCACAGUGUUCUUUCUGAUUCUGAUAAGACUCCUAAUACUUUCUGUUACGCUGUGAAUCAUAUGAAAAGACAUAUAGAAGUUUGGCUGUAGUGAGUAAAAAAAUAGAAAUAUUAUGGCAUCGCUUGAAGAGUAAGUAGUUAUAGAUAUAUAUAUAAUAAUUGAAUAGAAAAUAAUCCACAUGGGAGAAAGAUUUUCAUAGAAAAAUGCACAUGGACCAGUAUCGGUUGCCUUUAAGAAUCAGUAUUUACUUUUAUUCAUCAAGUUAUUGUGCAGAUUUGUUUUUUCCAUUUAUAAGCACGCGAAUCGAGAAACGGACUUCUAUGACGCGCGCUCUUAUUUUCUCCGUUCAGUAGAGGGAUUAAUGAACCAUAAAAUCGAAUAAUUAAUCCUCUGCAAUAGUUUAGUUAAAUUAAUUUCACAAUAUUUACAAUUACGCUAACUAUUUGAACUUGUUGUUUUCUUAAUAAUAACUAUUAUUUCAUUAUAUUUUACUUAAUAGUCUAUCAUUGUCAUAAUCCUUUCUUUUUCUUUUUUGAAUUUUUCUUGGAAUGAAACUCCCAAGUAUCGCUCAUAUACAAGAACUUAAAGAAAUCUUACAGCUUCAUUUGUCUCUCCACUUAUUUUCUAUAUUGAAUACUGGAUCACAAAGAAAAUUCUCUUCAAGGUAAGAAAUAAUUUAAAGAGAACUUAUAUAACACUGAGUAUUUACGCGCUAUCAAAUAGAAUGAAACUUUAUGACGCAGUAUGUAUGUACAUUGUACUCCAACAUUUUUUAUGUUAUAUUUAAUCAGAUGUAGAACAAAUUUGUCGCAUUAAAAAUACUCACACAUUUUGUAUAAAGAAUGUGAAUGCAGAGGUUUAAUAUCACAGUGAAAACGACCGUAAUACACAUAAUUUUUUGCUACAUGAAAGAAAGAAGAGAAAAUCCAAUAUACUAAAGAUAUACCUAAGAAUGUUCAUGCACCCUCUGCUGACCGGUUUCAAUUAAAUAUAACAUUCGGAUAACGUGUCUUAAACUUUAUUUUAUAUAAUAACAAUAAUAAUAAUAAUAGUCGCUAAUAAUAAUUAAUUAAAAAUUAAUAUAUAUAUAUAUAUAUUAUAUUCUCUACGUGUAUCGUUAUAAUUGGUAGUCAAUCAUUUUCAUCAAUCCCGUAUAUUAAACUAAUUUUAAUGCGUCAAUAUGUAAAACUGAACGUCUUCUCCCGAUUGCAAUAUAUUUUCUCUCAUCGUUAUUUGCAUAAAAACAUUUGUAGCCUGCAUUAGACAGAUAAUCCCUUGACAAUGAUGAUUUGCAAAUACACCAAAGUUCGUCUGCUCCUUUCUUUUUUCACAACGACGUGUCACAGAUUUUCUUUAAUCUGUGUAUGUAUUUAAUGUGCAGUGAUUUCUAGCCCGAAUCAAACAGGUGAAUCACGACAGAGAACCCUAACAUAGAAAUGGAUAAGAGAUAAGGUCGAGACAACUUGAACUCCACAAUUGGAACAUUUGGAAGUUGAACCUUUUUUUUCCAGAAGAACUCGAAUAUGCCCCAUGAACAAAGUAGAUCUUUCUGUUCUAUGUAUCAAUGAGACAGAUGAUCAUGUGAAAAUAAAACCAGCAUAAAAUAGGCAGAUUUAUGUACAGCGGUUAGAAUAAAACGUUCGAUAUAACCGUACAAUAUAUAUAUAUAUGUAUAUUUCUUAUAAAAGAGAUUUUAUUUAACAUUUUAAUGUAUCGCAGUUCGUGUGAAUUUUUGUAUAGUCAUCAAUGAAUUGAUAGCACACUGUGAUGCAUUAAAAUUCAAGCUUUCAGAUUCGAGUUUUUCAAGUCUUUAACUUCUUCCAACGUCCCACUCUAUGCAUGGGUAGUUAAAAUAGUACCAGAAAUAAGUUUUAUAGAACCAGUAGUCCAGCAGAAUUUAGUUGCAAUAGAAUACUAUGUACAGAAUAAUCUGAUAUUUCACCAACGCAACUGGAAUUUAAACUGGGUAGUUUCACGAGAAGGAUUUUUCUAAACUAUCCAUCAGUAACGUGGUUACUUUUGAUCGGUGAUGUUAUGAAUCAUCAUCGCAACCAGGAGAGAAGACCUAACGCUGAGUAGCUGUUUCCUCCUUUCUCGUCUUUACAGCUCUUUCACGAAAUAUUAAUAUCAUAGUCUUUCUUUUUUUCCCUUGGUUUUUCUGCUUCAUGCUUCGUUUCUCUCGCAAUCCUGGCAGUGGAUAUCGGCUUUUAAGUCGAUGUGUUUCACAUUGACACACACCUGGUGCGCGAAACGUUUUAAGAGAUUACAAAAUGGAAUAGAUAAACUGACUAUAUGAUUCUAUCCGUCGAUCUGAAUCGGAUUAAAAAGUAAGUUUGCCUCGUUUCUCGUUCGCUAU